UCAGGUUCAAGGACAAGACUAUGCUGCAUUACUUGUUCUCCACGAUUCAGUCUAUGAUCAGGCCUACAUGUGGUUCAACUCGCUCAAGCAAGCACUCAAGAGUCGAAUUCUCAGUCACUUUGGUCCAAUGCCAGCUAAGGAUCCUGACCCACAGGCUAACCCUAAUGGGCCAGCCUGGUGUUGGUGGGUCCUGGCUGUCCUUCCACUUGAGAACAGAGCUCAGCUCCCCUUCCUUGCCAUGAAAUCCCUCAAAGACCGCUUGAAUGGCAUCAGACGUGUCCUUACGUUCAUGUCUCGUACAAGAGCACGGUGAUGGUGAGGAGGAGAACUGUGAAGUCUCCCGCAGUACUUGACUGUAGAGUGUCUCUUGUGACUUCAUCUAACUGCAAUAAUGUCUUACAGAUCUGAGUGUCAGGAUGUUUCAAGCCUGAAUUU